rnacentral:rRNA from 1 species
UGAUCCAGCAUGCCGCGUGGGUGAAGACGGCCUGCGGGUUGUAAAGCCCUUUAGGCGGGGAAGAACGGCCGGGCGCGAAUAGCGCGCGGCUCUGACGUUACCCGCAGAAUAAGCACCGGCUAACUCCGUGCCAGCAGCCGCGGUAAUACGGAGGGUGCGAGCGUUAAUCGGAAUUACUGGGCGUAAAGCGUGCGUAGGCGGUUCGGUCAGUCAGCCGUGAAAGCCCCGGGCUCAACCUGGGAACGGCGGUUGAGACGGCCGGACUAGAGUGGGCUAGAGGAUCGUGGAAUUCCCGGUGUAGCGGUGAAAUGCGUAGAGAUCGGGAGGAACACCGAUGGCGAAGGCAGCGGUCUGGGGCCACACUGACGCUGAGGCACGAAAGCGUGGGGAGCAAACAGGAUUAGAUACCCUGGUAGUCCACGCGGUAAACGAUGAGCACUAGACGUCGGGUGGGUGACCGUCCGGUGUCGCAGCUAACGCGCUAAGUGCUCCGCCUGGGGA